UACGAAGGGGGCUAGCGUUGCUCGGAAUCACUGGGCGUAAAGCGCACGUAGGCGGAUUGUUAAGUCAGGGGUGAAAUCCUGGAGCUCAACUCCAGAACUGCCUUUGAUACUGGCGAUCUCGAGUCCGGGAGAGGUGAGUGGAACUGCGAGUGUAGAGGUGAAAUUCGUAGAUAUUCGCAAGAACACCAGUGGCGAAGGCGGCUCACUGGCCCGGUACUGACGCUGAGGCACGAAAGCGUGGGGAGCAACAGG
rnacentral:rRNA from 1 species